rnacentral:rRNA from 1 species
AACGAACGCUGGCGGCAUGCCUAGCACAUGCAAGUCGAACGAGACCUUCGGGUCUAGUGGUGCACGGGUGCGUAACGCGUGGGAACCUGCCCUUAGGUUCGGAAUAACUCCCCGAAAGGGGUGCUAAUACCGGAUAAUGUCUUCGGACCAAAGAUUUAUCGCCUUUGGAUGGGCCCGCGUUGGAUUAGCUAGUUGGUAGGGUAAAGGCCUACCAAGGCGACGAUCCAUAGCUGGUCUGAGAGGAUGAUCAGCCACACUGGGACUGAGACACGGCCCAGACUCCUACGGGAGGCAGCAGUGGGGAAUAUUGGACAAUGGGCGAAAGCCUGAUCCAGCAAUGCCGCGUGAGUGAUGAAGGUCUUAGGGUUGUAAAGCUCUUUUACCCGGGAUGAUAAUGACAGUACCGGGAGAAUAAGCUCCGGCUAACUCCGUG